UUUGUCUGCUCCCAAGUUUUCUGAUGUGUCUAAUCGCUCUGGCCAGUGUUUCAAGAAGUAUUUUAAAUAGAAAUGGUAAAAGAGGGCAUCCCUGUCUUUUUCCAGUUUUUUGAGACAAUGCUUUCAAUUUUUCUCCAUUUAGAAUGAUGUUGGCCUGGGGCUUAGUAUAGGUAGCUUUUACAGUGUUGUGAUAUUUUCCUGUUAUCCCUAAUUUUUCUAGUGUUUUGAACAUGAAGGGGUGCUUAUUUUGUCCAAUGCUUUUUCUGCGUCUAUUGAGAUGAUCGUAUGGAUGUGAUGAAUUACAUUUAUUGACUUCUGUAUGUUGAACCAACCUAGUAACCUGAGAUGAACCCCAUUUGAUCCUUGAUCGUGGUGCACAAUCAUUUUGAUAUGUUUUUGUAUUCGAUUUGUGUUUCGAUGGUCAAAAGGUGCCACUUAUGCAGUCCAGGGGGAGAAAUAAAGAAUGUCCACAUGCUUCUGCCCUUUGCAAUGCUUUUUUCACUCAAAUCACUCAUACAGUUUCACUCUAUAGGUUCUUAAUCAAGAAAAUGACAAUCCUUAAUGCUAGGCACUGCAGUAGACACAAUGAAUUCACAGCAAACAAUUCAGGAUUAAUUAAUUCACAGUAAACAAUUCUAGAUUAAUUCUAAGCACUGCAGACACACUUAAUCAUGACCAGCUAAUGACAGACAUUCUCUCUGCACACUAAGUUCAAGUGUCAGAUCAAAAGUCUCUAGCCUUAGGCUUUAAAUCCAACAGAUGCACACUCAGAUCACGGUGAUCAGAUCAGGAACCAAGGCAGGCUUCUGGGGUGGAGCUGAUGGCUAGCUGAGGAGAGGAUCAUAGGGAGAAGUUGUGGCUCUUACCAAGGUCAAGUUGUGGCUGUAGAGUUUGAGAGCAGUGAGGCAGAUGCAGAGGAUAAGCAAACAAUGAAAAGUGUCGGGAUGUCAGUCCAGGUCCUCAUCAGGCUCUCAGCAUGAGGGCAUCAGUAUAGGCUGGCUGAAUGUAUGUUCAUUUGCUCUUUUACUUAUACUAAAUUUUGGGGCUUUUGCCCCUCCCCUCCUUUUAAUCCUUAUCAACUGCCACUGGAUUUCUUAGUGACAUCAUUUACCCUGGGGUUAAAACAUCUGGUCCGGUGGACUUGUUUGUGCUUGAGGGCCACAAUGGAGGGCUCUGUUAGCCCUGCGUGAUGAGAUUGCAGGUUUCAAACUGGAGUAUUUAAAAUGGAGUUACUUAGGCUCAGGCCUAAGGGCAUCCUCAUAAUUUGCCAGAAUUUUAUUGAGAAUUUUUGCAUCUAUGUUCAUUAGAGAUAUUGUCUGAAGUUUUCUUUCUUUGAUGUGUUUUGCCUAGUUUUGGAAUCAGGGUGACAUUGGCCUCAUAGAAUGUAUUUGGAAGUGCUCCCUCUUUUUCUAUUUCCUGAAAUAAAUUGAGGACUAUUUGUAUUAGUUCUUCUUUAAAGGUCUUGUAGAACAUGGCUGUGUAUCCAUCUGGUCCUGGGCUUUUCUUGGUUCGUAGGUUUUUGAUGGCGUCUUCUGUUUCAUCAUUUGAAAUAUAUCAUCCUUAUUCAAUUUGGGCAGAUCAUAUGACUCUAGAAAUUUG
rnacentral:lncRNA from 1 species